GGCCUGUAGCUUAGUGGGUAGGGUGUCAGUCACAUACAUUGAGGCAGGUGGGUUCGAAUCCUGCCCAGGCCA
rnacentral:tRNA from 1 species